GACGAACUGUCCUAACGUUGUUCGGAAUCACUGGGCUUAAAGGGCGCGUAGGCGGUCCGACAAGUCAGGGGUGAAAUCCUGCAGCUUAACUGCAGAAGUGCCUUUGAUACUGUCGGUCUCGAGGGAGAUAGGGGUGUGCGGAACUUCCAGUGGAGCGGUGAAAUGCGUUGAUAUUGGAAGGAACGCCGGAGGCGAAAGCGGCGCACUGGAUCUCUUCUGACGCUGAGGCGCGAAAGCUAGGGGAGCAAACGGGGAUUAAGAAACCCU
rnacentral:rRNA from 1 species